CCUACGGGCGGCAGCAGUGAGGAAUAUUGGUCAAUGGACGAGAGUCUGAACCAGCCAAGUAGCGUGAAGGAUGACUGUCCUAUGUGUCGUAAACUUCUUUUAUAAAGGAAUAAAACGAGGCACUUGUGCCCUUUUGCAUGUACUUUAUGAAUAAGCAUCGGCUAACUCCGUGCCAGCAGCCGCGGUAAUACGGAGGAUCCGAGCGUUAUCCGGAUUUAUUGGGUUUAAAGGGUGCGUAGGCGGAAGGUUAAGUCAGCGGUCAAAUGUCGGUGCUCAACACCGGCCUGCCGUUGAAACUGGUCGUCGUGAGUGAGCGAGAAGUAUGCGGAAUGCGUGGUGUAGCGGUGAAAUGCAUAGAUAUCGCGCAGAACUCCGAUUGCGAAGGCAGCAUACCGGCGCUCAACUGACGCUGAGGCACGAAAGCGUGGGGAUCGAACAGGAUUAGAUACCCGGGUAGUC
rnacentral:rRNA from 1 species